UCUUGUUCCCGCCCUAGGCAGGAUUCCCAGAAACCUUUCCAGAUAAAUGAGUAUAAGGCCCACCUUCUAGGAAAGAAGGGAUGAUGCCUACUCUUGGUUACUGCUUCCAACACUCAGCACACUGUCAGAUUGUUAUUGGGGCCCCAUUACAUGCAAGGCAAUAAAAAUCAUGAUAUGAUCAUCAAAAACAAAGGUCCUUCAUCACUCCUGAAGGUGGUCUAUAAUAAACUUCUUGUUGUUCAUCCUUGGUUUCUGAAGAGGACUGAUGACACCAUGGGGUGAUAUCUUGACCUGCGUGUCAACGAGACAGAGUUGUACAAGGUCAUCGGUCUCCCUCUCUCUUGCAUAGUCAUCAGAGUCCAGUGGCAAGACAAAAGUCAGGACAACUGUCAAUGGCCCGAGAUGUAGUGGAUGACCUUGGCACCUCUGACCAAGCUCUAAGUGCUCCGCACUGCCUGCUUCAGCUGCUUCUUCAUGGUUGUUGGAAUAAAUUGUUCUCGUCUGCCCAUUCCAUUCCCAUGCUUUGGUAGACAUUCCCCUAACUCAUCAAGAAGCUGUAUAAUAAACCAUUCACAGCACCAUUCAUUUCGGUUUCUCUCUCCAUUAAUUGUCA